rnacentral:rRNA from 1 species
GACGAACGCUGGCGGCGUGCUUAACACAUGCAAGUCGAACGGAAAGGCCCUGCUUUUGUGGGGUGCUCGAGUGGCGAACGGGUGAGUAACACGUGAGUAACCUGCCCUUGACUUUGGGAUAACUUCAGGAAACUGGGGCUAAUACCGGAUAGGAGCUCCUGCUGCAUGGUGGGGGUUGGAAAGUUUCGGCGGUUGGGGAUGGACUCGCGGCUUAUCAGCUUGUUGGUGGGGUAGUGGCUUACCAAGGCUUUGACGGGUAGCCGGCCUGAGAGGGUGACCGGCCACAUUGGGACUGAGAUACGGCCUAGACGCCUACGGGAGGCAGCAGUGGGGAAUAUUGCACAAUGGGCGGAAGCCUGAUGCAGCAACGCCGCGUGCGGGAUGACGGCCUUCGGGUUGUAAACCGCUUUCGCCUGUGACGAAGCGUGAGUGACGGUAAUGGGUAAAGAAGCACCGGCGAACUACGU